CCCCAGCCCCUUCCCGCCCCCCUCCCCGGGCAGCAGACACCAACUUCUGCUCGCGAACUCCGUCCUGCCCCUUUUUUGGCCCAGGGCGACCUCGACAGCCCUGACAGCGACAGGCCCGCCGCAGUGCCCAGAAAGGCCCCCGGUGGCCCAGCGCCUCCCCGGCUCUUUCUGGAUGGAGGCGCCUCAGGAAGGAGCUGGCUGACGCUCUGGCCUGCACUCUCCAGCCGCUGCUGACCACACCUCCCCUAGUGCAGAGGCCUCCGUGAGGAGCAGGAAAUGCUGCACCAGCACAGCUGGCUCCCCGGGAUUUUGGUCUGAACGCUAGGAUGGAGCUGGGGGCAGCGACGGAAACCUUCGUGCUGGAGCUCCGGUGUCUUGAAGAUGGGGGCCCAGGGCCUGGCACCCUGUCAGGUGGCAGCGGUGGGAGUGAGAGUCAAGAGGAAGAAGAGGCUCAGGAUAAGAACGGCAGCCCUCCACAGCCAACAAGCUCUGCCCCAACGGGAGCCAGGGAACUGGCUGAGGAAGCAGCGCCCAGACAGCUGGAGUUGCAGCGGCAACAGUCAGAGCUGCAACCAGAGCAGCAACCACAAAGCCAGCCCUCAGGAUGGCAGCUAGAAUUGAAGCAGCAGCAGCAGCAGCAGCACCUGCAGCAGGAACAGUUACAGCAGAAGCAGGAGGAACAGUUACAGCAGCAGCAGCAGCUGCAGCAGGAACAGUUACAGCAGCACCAGCAGCAACAGCAACAACACCUGCAGCAGGAACAGUUACAGCAGCACCAGCAGCAACAGCAACAACACCUGCAGCAGGAACAGUUACAGCAGCAACAACACCUGCAGCAGGAACAGUUACAGCAACAACACCUGCAGCAGGAACAGUUACAGCAGCACCAGCAGCAGCAGCAACAACACCUGCAGCAGGAACAGUUACAACAGCAGCAGCAGCAGGAACAGCAGAAUCAGCAGGAACAGUUACUGCAGCAGCAGCUGCAGCAGCAGGAACAGUUACAGCAACAGAAGCUGCAGCAGCAGGAACAGUUACAGGUGCUGCAGCAGCAGCAGGAACAGUUACAGCAGCAGCAGCUGCAGCAGCAGGAACAGUUACAGAUGCAGCAGCUGCAGCAGCAGCAGCUGUUGCAGCAACAGCAGUUGCAGCAGCAAGAACAGUUGCAACAGCAGCAGCAGCCCCGUCCACUGGAGCCAGAGGAGGAGGAAGAGGUGGAGCUGGAGCUCAUGCCGGUGGACCUGGGAACGGAGCAGGAACUGGAACAGCAGCGGCAGGAGCUGGAGAGACAACAGGAACAGCGGCAGCUGCAGCUCAAACUGCAGGAGCAGCUGCAGCAGCUGGAGCAGCAGCUGGAGCAGCAGCAGCAGCAGCUGGAGGAGCAGCAGGAGGUGCAGCUGGAGCUGACCCCUGUGGAGCUGGGAGCCCAGCAGCAGGAAGUGCAGCUGGAGCUGACCCCCGUGCAGCGGGAGCUGCAGCUGGAGCUGGUGCCCGCCGCGGGGGGCGGCGGGACUUCGGCCCCGGGGCCCCCAGCCGCGGUCGUGGUGGCCCCCCCGGGCUACGUGGUGCUGCAGGAGCUCAUGGUGUUGCCGGCCGUGGCGGCGCCCGCGGUGGUGGCCAUCCCGGGCCCCGCGGGCAGC
rnacentral:lncRNA from 1 species